AGUGAACGCUGGCGGUAGGCCUAACACAUGCAAGUCGAACGGCAGCACAGGAGAGCUUGCUCUCUGGGUGGUGAGUGGCGGACGGGUGAGGAAUACAUCGGAAUCUACUUUUUCGUGGGGGAUAACGUAGGGAAACUUACGCUAAUACCGCAUACGACCUACGGGUGAAAGCAGGGGAUCUUCGGACCUUGCGCGAUUGAAUGAGCCGAUGUCGGAUUAGCUAGUUGGCGGGGUAAAGGCCCACCAAGGCGACGAUCCGUAGCUGGUCUGAGAGGAUGAUCAGCCACACUGGAACUGAGACACGGUCCAGACUCCUACGGGAGGCAGCAGUGGGGAAUAUUGGACAAUGGGCGCAAGCCUGAUCCAGCCAUACCGCGUGGGUGAAGAAGGCCUUCGGGUUGUAAAGCCCUUUUGUUGGAAAGAAAUCCAGCUGGUUAAUACCCGGUUGGGAUGACGGUACCCAAAGAAUAAGCACCGGCUAACUUCGUGCCAGCCGCCGCGGUAA
rnacentral:rRNA from 1 species